GAUGAAGAACGUAGCGAAAUGCGAUAAGUAGUGUGAAUUGCAGAAUUCAGUGAAUCAUCGAAUCUUUGAACGCACAUUGCGCCCUUUGGUAUUCCUUAGGGCAUGCCUGUUCGAGCGUCAUUUAAACCUUCAAGCUCUGCUUGGUGUUGGGUGUUUGUCUCGCCUCUGCGUGUAGACUCGCCUCAAAACAAUUGGCAGCCGGCGUAUUGAUUUCGGAGCGCAGUACAUCUCGCGCUUUGCACUCAUAACGACGACGUCCAAAAGUACAUUUUUACACUCUUGACCUCGGAUCAGGUAGGGAUACCCGCUGAACUUAAGCAUAUCAAUAAGCGGAGGA
rnacentral:misc_RNA from 1 species